rnacentral:lncRNA from 1 species
GAAUAAAUGAAGAAGAGGAGAAGAAAAAAGCAAAAAGCAAAGAGAAAAUCAAGUUGAAAAAGAAAAGGAAAAGGUCUUAUUCAUCCAGUUCCACUGAAGAGGACACUUCAAAACAAAAGAAACAAAAAUAUCAGAAGAAAGAGAAGAAAAAAGAAAAAAAGAAUAAAUCAAAAAAGGGGAAACAUCACAAAAAGGAAAAAAAGAGGAGAAAAAAGGAAAAGCAUUCUUCCACCUCUACUAGUUCUGAAGUCUCCAAAAAAUAACCGAGACUUUGGCCUAAGCCAUUAAAAUACAAAUUUUGGUUUUUAAAAUUAUUUGACCUUCCUUGAAAUUUGCUAUAUAAUUAUGCUUUGCAAUAAAUCCCAGCCUUUUCCGUAUAGACAUCUUUUUCAUAUAUGGGACCAUUAUCCUCUGGCAAUAUAUUUUUAGUAUGGUAUGACUGUAAAGUGUUGAAUCAGUCUUAUUAUCCAAGUGUGGAUAUUUGUACAUACAAAACAUCAUUUUUGGUAUUCGUAGCUCUGUGUGUCUGACUAGUGUUAUUGCUUCGUAAGCUGAUUGUAAAUGGCUUUACUGCAGUCAACACGGGUGGUCUGCCCAGCAGUUAAUGCGUAUUGCUGAACCAAGUGUCCACCUUCCAGUGUAAAGUGAGCUGCUUCAGAGUCACAGAGAUAGACAGCAGCUGGUGUGCUGGAUGAGCCUGUGGCUCUCUCAGGUGCCCUGGCUCGGCGGGGAUGCUUCAAGGACUGCAGCUGAUCCUCGUGCAGGGCUUUAAUCUCCCUGGGCAAUCGGCAUCCAAGAACAGUGCGUUUUUUAUGCCAGUGUGACAGUAAUCCCAGGGUCUUCUGACCUCAUUUGUCUCCUCUCAACUCCUCCAAAAAUAUUCAGAGCAUCAGAGAAUUGGGAUGCCUCUGCUGGAGCACCCAGGAUGCCUCCAGCCAUACCUGGCCCCGGAUAUGCCUGUCCCACAGGUUAGGAGGAGUCUGGGGGACCGCAAGCAUUUUUGCUGUCCCAGAGCCUCUAAGUUUCCUGCUUCUUGUGUCAUUUAUGGCAUCUUCCCUUCCCCUUGAGCAACAAAA